rnacentral:rRNA from 1 species
AGCUCCAAUAGCGUAUAUUAAAGUUGUUGCAGUUAAAAAGCUCGUAGUUGGAUUUGUGGUGUAUGCCGGCGGCCUGGUACUUCGUAUCGGAGCUUGCUUGCGUCGCCAUCCUUGGGUGGAUCCUGUGUGGCAUUAAGUUGUCGUGCAGGGGAUGCCCAUCGUUUACUGUGAAAAAAUUAGAGUGUUCAAAGCAGGCUUAUGCCGUUGAAUAUAUUAGCAUGGAAUAAUAAGAUAGGACCUUGGUACUAUUUUGUUGGUUUGCGCACCAAGGUAAUGAUUAAUAGGGACAGUUGGGGGUAUUCGUAUUCCAUUGUCAGAGGUGAAAUUCUUGGAUUUUUGGAAGACGAACUACUGCGAAAGCAUUUACCAAGGAUGUUU